rnacentral:rRNA from 1 species
UACAGAGGUCUCGAGCGUUAGGCGGAAUCACUGGGCUUAAAGCGUGUGUAGGUGGAUGCCUAAGUACCUUGUGAAAUCCCACAGCUUAACUGUGGAACUGCUUGGUAUACUGGGGUGUCUUGAGUCAGCUCAGGGGCGAGCGGAACAAAUGGUGGAGCGGUGAAAUGCGUAGAUAUCUGGAGGAAUACCGGUGGCGAAGGCGGCAUCCUGGACCAUAACUGACGCUGAGGCGCGAAAAGCUAGGGGAGCAAACGGG